UUUCCAAAAUGUGCCAUGGAU
rnacentral:piRNA from 1 species